GACGAACGCUGGCGGCGUGCUUAACACAUGCAAGUCGAGCGGUAAGGCCCUUUCGGGGGUACGACGAGCGGCGAACGGGUGAGUAACACGUGGGUGACCUGCCCUUAGCUCUGGGAUAAGCCUGGGAAACUGGGUCUAAUACCGGAUAUGACUCCAUAACGCAUGUUGUGGGGUGGAAAGCCUUGUGCGGCUAGGGAUGGGCCCGCGGCCUAUCAGCUUGUUGGUGGGGUGAUGGCCACCAAGGCGACGACGGGUAGCCGGCCUGAGAGGGCGACCGGCCACACU
rnacentral:rRNA from 1 species